rnacentral:rRNA from 1 species
GUGAGUAGUUCAGAGUUUGAUCCUGGCUCAGGACGAACGCUGGCGGCGUGCCUAACACAUGCAAGUCAACGGGGUGAUUCCUUCGGGGAUCACUUAGUGGCGAACGGGUGAGUAACGCGUGAGAAACCUGCCUUCCAGUGGGGGACAACAGUUAGAAAUGACUGCUAAUACCGCAUAAUGUUUUCGAGGGGCAUCCCUUGAAAACCAAAGCUUUAUGUGCUGGAAGAUGGUCUCGCGUCUGAUUAGCUAGAUGGCGGGGUAACGGCCCACCAUGGCGACGAUCAGUAGCCGGUCUGAGAGGAUGAACGGCCACAUUGGGACUGAGAUACGGCCCAG